rnacentral:rRNA from 1 species
CGGGGUGCAGCAGGCGCGAAAACUUUGCAAUACACGAAAGUGUGACAGGGUCAUCCCGAGUGCCGACCGCUGAGGUUGGCUUUUACCCAGUCUAGAAAGCUGGGGGAAUAAGGAGAGGGCAAGUCUGGUGUCAGCCGCCGCGGUAAUACCAGCUCUCCGAGUGGUGUGGACGUUUAUUGGGCCUAAAGCAUCCGUAGCUGGCUGAACAAGUCCCCUGUUAAACCCACCGAUUUAAUCGUUGGUCUGCGGGGGAUACUGCUCGGCUAGGGGACGAGAGAGGCAGACGGUAUUCCCGGGGUAGGGGUGAAAUCCUAUAAUCCCGAGAAGACCACCAGUGGCGAAGGCUGUCUGCUAGAACGCGCCCGACGGUGAGGGAUGAAAGCUGGGGGAGCGAACCGGAUUAGAUACCCGGGUAGUCCCAGCUGUAAACGAUGCAGACUAGGUGUUUGGACGGCCACGUGCCGUUCUAGUGCCGCAGGGAAGCUGUUAAGUCUGCCGCCUGGGGAGUACGAUCGCAAGAUUGAAACUUAAAGGAAUUGGCGGGGGAGCACAAGGGCGAUUCGCG